CAGUCGCCGCGGUAAAACGGAGGGUGCAAGCGUUAAUCGGAAUUACUGGGCGUAAAGCGUGCGUAGGCGGUUCGUUAAGUCUGUUGUGAAAGCCCCGGGCUCAACCUGGGAAUGGCAAUGGAUACUGGCGAGCUAGAGUGUGUCAGAGGAUGGUGGAAUUCCCGGUGUAGCGGUGAAAUGCGUAGAGAUCGGGAGGAACAUCAGUGGCGAAGGCGGCCAUCUGGGACAACACUGACGCUGAGGCACGAAAGCGUGGGGGGCAAACAGGAUUAGAUACCCCCGUAGUCCCUGUCUCUUAUAC
rnacentral:rRNA from 1 species